CCAGGUUCCAAGGAAGGUUGAUUCUCAGUUACCAUGGUGAUUCAGAGGCCUGCCUUGGAGCUGUUGGAUCCUGGAGGUCUAUCACAGGCUGGAUCUCAGCCAGCACAGCAUACCUACAGAGCGUGGCACCUGUACAUGCAUCCAGAAAUCAGUGGAUGUAGAGAUUAGCAGUGAUGGGGACAGCUGGUUCUGUGCUCUCUGGACAGGUGGCAGCAGCAGAUCACCAACAAAUGAGCAGCGUGCCCUGAGUCUUCCACCAGAAGCAAAUUGUAAGAGGGAAAGAACAAGUAAGUGUUAUGGGUUAGUCAUUUUUUUUUUUUUGCAUAGAAAACAAGCAAAGAAAUAUCUAGAAAUUACAGCUGUUGAGGGAUCAUGUUUGGGGGAGAGGGUAGUGUCAUUAAGUCCUGAAGGGAAAAAAAGUGGAACAUAGUCCCCACGCAUGGUCCUAAAUUUAAAUAUUUUUAGGACCAUGCUGAGAAAUAAAUAACUACAGAAUGGGAUCUUGUGUUUAUGAAACAUCUUUGUGCACAUUAUGGAGGGAGAAGUGGCAUUGGCACUUUCAUGACCUAUGUCAGGGACUCUCUUAGGUUUUUUAUAGACGCAGUCUAACUUCCUUCUUACAAAAUUGAUCUCAUUCCCAUAUUUACAGCUGAAGAGACAACUUUAGAAUUAAACAUUUGUCCCAUGAUUAGGCAGCUAGUAAGUGGCAGGGUACCCUAUUUCCAAAUGUCAGACUGCCUUGAGAGGCAUGUCCAUUUAAAUUGUGGAACUGAUAGAUAAUAUGGAUUUUCUUUUUUUUUUUAAGAUUUUAUUUAUUUAUUCAUGAGAGAGAGACACACACACACAGAGAAGUAGAGACACAGGCAGAGGGAGAAGCAGUCUCCCUGCAGGGAGCCCAAUGUGGGACUCCAUCCUAAGACUCCAGGAUCACAAGCUGGGUGGAAGGCAGGAGCUAAACCUCUGAGCCACUCAGGGAUCCCCAAUAAUAUGGAUUUUCAUUGCUUUAAAAUAACCUCAAACUUGAAUCUUGCCUUCUUAAGACUUGAGGAUUGCCAAAAUUUUAAAACUGAAUUGGUAUCAUAUUUGUUCAUAAGUUAUAUAAAGCUACUCUGUUUCACACAAAAAUCACAUAAGCAUUAUAUAUUUUAAAUAUACGUACUUUGUUAAAAUGCAUACUCCAGCACACAAAAUUUAGAUUGUUAUGCAAGUUAUAAUUACGUUUUUGAGUUAGAAUAAAAUCUUAUUUAACAGCUUUAAAUACGCCACGUCCAAUGUAAUGUUUCACAAAUAAAAAAAAUUAGUUAUUCCCUCUACUGAGAUUCUGGAGUAGCAGAUGAAAAAUUCGAAGAUAUUUUAGACAUUCACUGUGAAUAACUUUACCCUCAGGUGCAAAUGCUCAAACUUUGCUUCUGGCCAGGUGGGCAGGAGAUACAUAAGGAAAAUGGACACAGAUCCUUCUGGAUGGGGAAUUCUGACCUUUUGAUGUCUGAGUCCCUUACUGUCCAGUCAAAGGUUUGAAAAGUGUUUUAUUUUUCAUUGCUAGGUAUUCGUUAAAUAGUUACUGAUGCCAUAACAAUUUUAUGUGACAUAACUGUAUAUCUGCCAAGGUAUAGAGAAAAGAGAAUGGGGUAAAUGUCUUUUUGUUUCUGUUUCAUG
rnacentral:lncRNA from 1 species